rnacentral:rRNA from 1 species
GUCCACGCCGUAAACGAUGGGUACUAGGUGUAGGGGGUAUCAACUCCCCCUGUGCCGUCGUUAACACAAUAAGUACCCCGCCUGGGGAGUACGGUCGCAAGAUUAAAACUCAAAGGAAUUGACGGGGCCCGCACAAGCAGCGGAGCAUGUGGUUUAAUUCGAGGCAACGCGAAGAACCUUACCUAGACUUGACAUCUCCUGAAUUACCCUUAACCGGGGAAGCCCUUCGGGGCAGGAAGACAGGUGGUGCAUGGUUGUCGU